GAAAUUGAGACAAACUAAAGACAACAUUAAAUAUUUUAAAGUCCAAUUUUAAAAGGGGUUAAACAGAAACAUAAAAAUCUUUUAAAAGUAAAAAUUUAAAAAGUAAAAGAAAAAAAGUGAAAAAAUGUGAACGUGUUCUUUUGGGCACUAUGUGCUCUUAAUAAUUUUGUUGAUAGCUCUGUCUGAAGUAUGGGUGGUUACUAUGUCUUCCUGUCUUUUGCCUGUUAUCCUUUUUGUUGGGGAUUUGGCCUGUGAUCUGGUAGCAAGAGUCUUCCCUUGCUAUUAAAUGAGAUCUCCUUUUUAUUUUGUGGUUGUCACUGCUCCUGUUCUCACCCUGCUGCAUGAACUCCACUCACUGGUUCCAGAGGCCCUCCAGUUGUGCCCCCAAUCUGUGCUUCUCCUAGUGCCAUGGGUCAUGACUCCUCCAAAUGCUGUAUUGUGGUGGUGCACUUGUGCAUGGUAGGUGGUUGGGUCUCUCUGCCUUUCAGUGCCCUUCCCAACUUCACUUCAGUUCCAUGCUCUUUAGAUGGACUUGGAUAAAAUUGCCAUACCAGUCAUCACCCCUGCUCUGUGCCAGAACUCUUCUUGUUCUUCUUAGAAGCAUGAGUUCACAGAGGUACUGCAGCAGAACUUUCCUAUUUGCCUGGGGCUGUGAACAAAUCUGAGUCCCACCUAUGAGGUUUCAGAGCCCCUAGGUAGGGAUUGAGAUUUCAACCCUGCCUCCACCUCGGUGCACAUUAGAGUAUAUGGUGGGUGUGGUUGAGUCCCAAUUGUCUUCUGCAGAAAAGGCACCAGAAAUGAUGCCACAAGUAUUCAAAGACAAAAGCUAUGACACCCCUCCGCCCAGGGCACACCAGCAGUGUUGCUUUGCCUUUUUUUUAAUAUUUUAUAGGGUACUCAUGUUGUUCUGCUCUGUAUACCUUUCCAGCGAUGGCACAAAGCACAUUGAAAUCUCCUGAGGUUGCCUCUGUACAGUUGGCCCGAGUCCUCCAUCAGGUUCAUGCAGUCUGUUUCAUCCCACACCUGCUGGUUGGUGUCUAAGCCUGGGGAUCAUGAGGAUACUUUUUGCCCCAUUUAAUUUUGUUCUGUCAGUUAAGGGCUAUUCUAUACAAUUUCAAGCCUCAGAGGUUCCCCCUCCAUCCAGCUUACCUCUUCAUUGGAGUGGGAGAGACCCAGCAAAUAAGCACUAUACCACCUUUGCUGCUCCCUCCCCAUGGGACUGGACUGCACUAUUUCCCUUUUCCUUCCUUUUAUUUUCCUUUUCUCCUGCCAGAUUAAUGGCGUGUUUUGUCUUUUGAUGAAAGUAAGGUUCUGUCAAAGUUCAGCAGACUUUCUGAUUGGAUAGGUGGGUCAGUGGAUGUCAGUCUUGGUGCAUUUGUGGGAGAAGGUGAGCUAAGAAUUUCGUUCUACUCCACCACCUUGGCCCUUCUUGAUUUUUUCUUUUUUUAAAUGUACAGUAGUCUAGUGUCUCUAUGUGUCAACUGUAGUGGGAUUUUGUCCAGUAAACCUAAAAUUUCUACUUUGAAAUAAACUACUGGGUUUAUAAAAAAGAACUUAAUUAACAGCUGCAAGCCAGCAUCAUCUAUUCAAGGGUGUGUUAGAGAAGGAUGGAGGGGAGGAAGGGGAGAGGGGGAAGAGACUCUAAGGGUGAGAGAGUGGGUAAGGGGGAAACCCUACCUGCUAAAAAGUGGAUGCUUGCUGCCAUUCAACACAGCUCAGUGCCGGGGCACCCCACUUUAUGCAGGAAGAGCUAGCUGUCUGGACCCUGAUCUACAGACACUUCUCUCAGCUUCUACUCUAGAGUUGAGCUGGUGCUGCUGGAGAAGAGGGUGGAGUCAGGGCAACAGUGGUUGGAUGGCAGCCUCUGAUGUGAACAAGGAGCUGUGAGUUCAGACUUGCUCCUUAAGCCCCUAAAGGACAAUGAGCAAGUGAGUCCAUCUAGAGAGACAAGGAGGGAGAGGGCCCUGUGGUGCUCCAACUGACUAUCCAAGCAUCCUACUUAGAAUUCUGCCUCAGGCUGACAUCUUUGACCAAGAAACAACACAGGUUGCUUUUAUUUCCUAAUUUAAUAAAAGCCUUUUGCUCACUUCCACGGGAAGCAUAAUAACAAAUCUGAGCUACUUUAAGAAGAAGGAAAAUCCUCACUGAGCACCUACCCUGCACCAGACAUGGUAUAAGGAACUUCAUGGCUGUGAUCUCAGUGACAUCUGACAAGUCACUAAGAACUGGGAUGAAGGGACAUGAGCAGAAACCAGAAGACAAAGACAGGCUGAAGGCAGAUGUCAUAAAGAAAAUUCCACAAGAAUGAAUAGCAGAAGCAGAAAGUGGAGCUGGUUUGGGACCACAUGGGCAAAUUCCUAGGUUUGAAUUCCAAUGAACUAGGCAGGGAGGUAAUCUUGGACUUAAAGCAUAAAGAUCAUUGGUUUCACAGUUUCUCUGCAUGACCAAUUAUUUUUGUUUGUUUUUUCUUUUUGCUGUCCUAGAUUUUCCAACAUGGCAAUUUUUAUACUUCUUCAUCAACCAUUCCAUUGACUGCUUCUCUUUCAACUCAUAUGCAUAAAAGACUUCACCCCAGGACCAGAUAACAAAUCAGUUAAUAACAGGAAGGAUAAGCAUUCAGAACUUGCCAAGCAAAAGGAGAGAUUGCACUAAGAAAACUGCACAUAAGAAAAGAGGAAUGGAAAAUAAGAAACAUGGGGCACAAAUGGAGAGAAACACACAUACCUUAGGAAACUCUAGACUGAUGCAGCCCCUCCCCGAACACUGACAAGAUGCAGCAACCAUUGGGGAUGGCAGUUACCAGUUGAAAUCCAGGUGGAAUGCUGGUGUGUCCCGCGUGGCUUGUUGUGGCUGGUGGAUCCAAGGUAACUGGGCAGAACACGGUGGGUGGAUCAGUGUCAUGGAGGGGCUGCCGCCCUCGCUGAAGCUUGGGAUAUGUCUCUUGUUCGGGAAGCUGUGUAAGAGAAGAUACUGCUGCUGCCCAAUGGCCUGAGAUCACGGGUCAGUUUCCAGAACCUGAAAGGUCAGACAGUGGAAGUUCUGCCUGUCCUCAGCUUACUGGUGAGACUCCGAAUUAGUUUGACACAUGCCCAGUCCUGUAGAAGUCAACUUUAAGGGAGACACGAAGAGAAGUUGGCAGAAAAGCUGGAUGCACGGAUUGAGGGGAGAUGUGAACACUUUGAUGAUUGCUGUUCUGCUACACUGGAGAUUAGUGGUAUGGAGAAUUCUGUACAGAAUACUAGGCUCGGAAGAUAUUCAUGAGACAUAUUGAGCCUCACUGAUACUGGCAGAAAACUGUGGAGGGGCAACGUGCACUUGAAAAGUUCUCAGUUCACUUCUCCAAGAACGGGUCCAAGAUUCUGGACGUCUAAAAUAGAAGAGAUGGCAGAGAUCAUAAAAGCGCUCAUGUUCUUGGAACAGGUCGUGAGAAUCCACACGUCACAAGGGACAAUUUCAAAACACUAAGACCACCAUGCACCAAGCCCAGGUAAGCCUUCACCCAGGGUGGGGCCUAGCUAUCAAGCACUUUCUCUUCCCUCCCCAACACAGGCAUCCAUUUUAAGGCAUCAGCACGUGAGCUGCAAUGAAGCCAUUAGGAGCAGAGCAAGCCGCUCCUAGAAUCAGAGUUCAAAUACCUUCACAUUCUGUGAACAACAGUGAACUCCUCCAUGGUCAAUUACUCUCGACUAAAACAGAUUGCAAUUGAAUUCUUAGAUCACACCGCGAAAUGAUGACCUUCCCCUAGAUUCAGCAAAUGCUGCGGUUCUGUCUACUUUGGGGUGAAGGGAGUGUGGUAAGUGAGGGGAAUCUUUGAUUGAACUUGAAUAUGUAGUAAGCCUCAGUUUUUCAAGAGAGUAUAGGUAAAUCUUAUAAGUCAGUUAUUGAAAUGAUCUUUAAAAUCACCAUAGACAUGAAUGGACACAUGUUUUGUGGAUUGUCUUUUCCCUUCAGUCAAGUUCCGGGUGCAGGAUAUCAUGGGGUUGCAGUCUUGGAUGGGUUAAAUUGCUUUAUCAAACGUGAUCGGAUGAGUAUAUAUUCUCAUGGUUGAUAGAAGAGCACCUGGUUCUCCAUAGUCUAGCAAAGCUGCAGCAGAUUUCUCAUAGAUAUAAUGCUUCUAGGUGCUAUUUGAACCAAGCCUACGUGUAAAUAUGUUGUUUGUGUUUCCUUGUGUUUAACUAGAGAGAAAAGUUGCCCCUUUACUAGCCAACUUUGACAAGUACGUGUCAUUGGGAGGAAAGGGCAGCACAUCAACAAGGGAAACCCAGGGUUGGGGUUAUUUCAUGGUUCCUAUAUUUAGCUCAUUGUUCCUGUUGUUGAAUGCAUAAAUAAUAAAGCUUUCACCUGUCCCCUUCAACACUUGGGACUGCUAUUUUA